rnacentral:rRNA from 1 species
AUUGAACGCUGGCGGCAGGCCUAACACAUGCAAGUCGAACGAGUGGCGGACGGGUGAGUAAUGUCUGGGAAACUGCCCGAUGGAGGGGGAUAACUACUGGAAACGGUAGCUAAUACCGCAUACCAUCGGAUGUGCCCAGAUGGGCUUAGCUAGUAGGUGGGGUAACGGCUCACCUAGGCGACGAUCCCUAGCUGGUCUGAGAGGAUGACCAGCCACAUUGUAACUGGGACACGGUCCAUAGUUCUAAGGGAGGCAGCAGUGGGGAAUAGUGCACAAUGGGCGAAAGCCUGAGGCAGCCAUGCCGCGUGUAUGAAGAAGGCCUUCGGUUUGUAAAGUACGUUCAGCGAGGAGGAGUUACUCGCAGAAGAAGCACCGGCUAACUCCGUGCCAGCAGCCGCGGUAAUAC